GACGAACGCUGGCGGCGUGCCUAAUACAUGCAAGUCGAACGCACUCUCGUUUAGAUUGAAGGAGCUUGCUCCUGAUUGAUAAACAUUUGAGUGAGUGGCGGACGGGUGAGUAACACGUGGGUAACCUGCCCUAAAGUGGGGGAUAACAUUUGGAAACAGAUGCUAAUACCGCAUAAAACCUAACACCGCAUGGUGUAGGGUUGAAAGAUGGUUUCGGCUAUCACUUUAGGAUGGACCCGCGGUGCAUUAGUUAGUUGGUGAGGUAAAGGCUCACCAAGACCGUGAUGCAUAGCCGACCUGAGAGGGUAAUCGGCCACACUGGGACUGAGACACGGCCCAGACUCCUACGGGAGGCAGCAGUAGGGAAUCUUCCACAAUGGACGAAAGUCUGAUGGAGCAACGCCGCGUGAGUGAAGAAGGUUUUCGGAUCGUAAAACUCUGUUGUUGGGAGAAGGAAUGUAUCUGAUAGUAACUGAUCAGGUAGUGACGGUAUCCAACCAGAAAGCCACGG
rnacentral:rRNA from 1 species